GCGUAAUGAUGAUGAUCUUAUAUAAAACCGACAAGUUCAUGAAUGGAAUACAACCUCCUACUCAUACUGA
rfam:Beta vulgaris subsp. vulgaris Bvchr7.sca001.con0160.1, whole genome shotgun sequence.